AAUCUGCCCUCGAGUCUGGGAUAACCAGGGGAAACCCUGGCUAAUACCGGAUACGUCCAAGGGGUCUUCGGCCCCCCUGGAGAAAGGUGGCCUCUGUUUCAAGCUGCCGCUCGUGGAUGAGCCCGCGGACCAUUAGCUUGUUGGUGAGGUAACGGCUCACCAAGGCAAUGAUGGUUAGCUGGUCUGAGAGGAUGAUCAGCCACACUGGGACUGACACACGGCCCAG
rnacentral:rRNA from 1 species